rnacentral:rRNA from 1 species
UACAGAGGGUGCGAGCGUUAAUCGGAAUUACUGGGCGUAAAGCGUGCGUAGACGGUUAUGUAAGUCGGGUGUGAAAGCCCCGGGCUCAACCUGGGAAUUGCAUUCGAGACUGCAUAGCUAGGAUGCGGAAGAGGGAAGUGGAAUUUCCGGUGUAGCGGUGAAAUGCGUAGAUAUCGGAAGGAACAUCAGUGGCGAAAGCGGCUUCCUGGUCCAGCAUCGACGUUCAGGCACGAAAGCGUGGGGAGCAAACAGG